UACGUAGGGUGCGAGCGUUGUCCGGAAUUACUGGGCGUAAAGAGCUCGUAGGUGGUUUGUCACGUCGUCUGUGAAAUUCCGGGGCUUAACCUCGGGCGUGCAGGCGAUACGGGCAAUACUUGAGUGCUGUAGGGGAGACUGGAAUUCCUGGUGUAGCGGUGAAAUGCGCAGAUAUCAGGAGGAACACCGGUGGCGAAGGCGGGUCUCUGGGCAGUAACUGACGCUGAGGAGCGAAAGCAUGGGUAGCGAACAGGAUUAGAUACCCCU
rnacentral:rRNA from 1 species